UCCCGUAUUUGGCCCGUGCGACGGCGUCUACGCUUGCCGGAGAGUCGGGUUGCUCGGGAUUGCAGCCUGAAUGGGAGGUAAAUUUCUCCUAAAGCUAAAUACUGGCGAGAGACCGAUAGCGAACAAGUACCGUGAGGGAAAGAUGCAAAGAACUUUGAAAAGAGAGUUAAAAAGUACCUGAACUUGUUGGGGGGAAAGCGGUUGCUUCCAGUGUGCGCGCGCCAAUUCAGCCUUUGGGUGUACUUUGGCGCGCGCGGUCAGGGUGGGUUUGCCGCGGCGUUGACGUCCCUCGCGAGGCCUUCGGGCAACCGGGUGGUCCUGCGUCGCUGUGGACCGAGGCUCGCUCUGCGGCGGGGUCGGCCGAUCGUCUUUGGCGUCUCACAAGCAACUUGUGCUCGCCGGGCGUGACUCCCUACCUGCCCCACCAGCGUGACCCUGACGAAAUGGGCGCCACCGACCCGUCUAGAAACACGGACCAAGGAGUCUGACGACUGCGCGAGUCUUCGGGUUGCAACCCCGUGGGCGUAAUGAAAGUGAGUGAUGCUCAGCAUCGACCGACCGUGAUCUCCUGUGAUUGGUUUGAGUAUGAGCGUGGUCGCCGGGACCCGAAAGAUGGUGAACUAUGCCUGAGUAGGGUGAAGCCUGAAGAAAUUCAGGUGGAGGCUCGUAGCGAUACUGACGUGCAAAUCGUUCGUCGAACUUGGGUAUAGGGGCGAAAGACUAAUCGAACCAUCUAGUAGCUGGUUCCCUCCGAAGUUUCCCUCAGGAUAGCUGGAGCUCUUUGUUCAGUUUUGU
rnacentral:rRNA from 1 species